ACCAAAAUGGCUGAGUGGUUAAGGUGUUGGACUCAAGUUCUAAGGGGCGUGAUGGUGGGUUUUUGGUU
rfam:Chelonia mydas contig138336, whole genome shotgun sequence.